rnacentral:sRNA from 1 species
AUGUACUUGGUGCUCAUCCUAGUCAAAAGCUAAAGAUUCCAGAAGUGCUCUCUUCCUCAAAUGAGAAUUGGUCCUCAACCUCUGCAUCGGUGAAGGUAAGAGCUCUCUGCAACUUUUUGGGACAGAAAACCUCAACAUCGGAAGUGUACACAGCUGUCACAGGGCGGUGAUCGGAUAGCCUGAUAUCAACUGUCCUGUAGGCCUGCAGCCUCAUUCCCUUGCCAAAGGAAAGAAUUCGCAUACCAGGCAGGUGUUCUCCUUCCAGAUUUUGGCUCAUCACUCGUGUAUUUCUCUGAGUUAACCUUGUACUUGUAUGUCGGGGGAAAGCUGAUAACUCCUUCAGUCCACCCAUCAAAUAAAUGCCCUUUCUUAAAUUCUCGUUUUAGCUAUCAUAGAGUAGAAAACAGUGAGGUACUAUUCCUUCAUGGAUAUGAAUUCAUGUGUUUUUUCAUAUGAUAAGUUGAUCCUAUAAUUGAGAUCUCCUAACCAUAUUAUCCUUUCAUGGUCAUAUAUAGUCUUAGGCAUGCUAACUCUGGAAACCGGAUUAAAUAUUGUCCUUCGAUGGAUUUCUUGCACAUCAGCAUUCCUUUUCAGUUCAUCUCCAUCCUUUUCUCCAGAGGUCAGGUGGCAACAUAUAAAGCAAAAGAGUGUUUGAUAAAUGGACAUGCUUACUGCUAUUGAUCCCUGGUUACCAAUAUAACCCAUAGCACCGACACCUACGGUUGAUACUUUCAAAUUUUGAAUAUGCUUCCGCAGGCUUCUUCGUACCCAUAUUGAAAUAAAAACUCCAACCAUCUGCUUGCUUAUUAUCCUUACGAAGUAUGGUCUUUUCGUUUUGACUAGUGCACUUUUGAUGUUAAAAUCAUGAACUAAACAAUCAUCUGGAAAAGCAUUGGAAUCUCCAUGUGCUGAUUUGAAAGACAAACAUGACCUCAGUGCCUUCUCUGAAAUAAAUGGUUUCGUGCUGUCUGGAAGACGCUGGGCCAAUAUAUCCAACGUUGUUUCCAUUUACGGUAGUUUCAGUAGGACCAGAAGUAGAGUGCUCAUAUUUAUUACUAUGAACACUGUCAUCAUCAACGGUAAAAUCUUGUUCAUUCCAUGGGUGCACUUCCCCGCCACUUUCGCUGUCAGAUUCACUAACAAGUUCAUCUUCCACAUCGUCAGAAGGCUUGAACCUUGAUGGAGAAGGAGGAUCACUGUGACAUUUAUAUUUUGGUUUAUCAGGACUAAUCUUAUUCAAUGUUUCACGAAUGAUAUGUUCCCACAUUGCGACAGGACGGUUGUCUUCAGCACCAAAUAUAUUCCCAGCAUUUAAUGGAACAAUUUCUUGAAAUCUAAAAGAUAAUAACUGGCUCCUCCAUAUCCAACCAAUCUUGAAUAUCCAAGUCAUCAGGUGGAAGUCUUCCUGCAACAUUCCAUGUUCCUACGCAGACCCUGCAUAUCAAACCAACAUUUUAAGGAAUAGUGACAGAACGGCAGUAGAUUUUAUAGGUUUCAGCUGCAAUUAGGCUUGAUCUUAAGGGGUUAUUCUUCGCCCAAACCACGCAGUCUCCUCUCCUCAUCAUAUAGUUGGCGCUCCCAAUGGCACAUUUCUCUUCGUACUCGAACUCGCUAUCGGUGUCGUCGUCGCCGGUGGCUUCGCCCUCGUCGGCGCUGAAGUCGGAUUCCGGCGACCUGAUGUUGAGCCAUUUCCGAAGCACCGUCUUCGGCCACAGCUGUGUGCAUGCCCCGC